AAUCCAUCAAAUAGAGAUGAUUUACUAUUUGAAGAGUCUUGAGUAAGUAGAACGGAUGUGAGGUAUUAGAGCUUUCAUUGCCAAAGAUGAUCCACAAGUCAACGUAGUGCCCCACUUUCAAAAAUUUUCCUAUGGAAGACGUCACGCUGCCGCUACAGUGACUCCAACAUGAUCCACAUUCACACUGGGGGCGGGUUCAGUAGCGGUCUCGGCAGGAAGUACCCCAACUCGCUGAACCACGCAGACUGGAAGGCGCCCCUGAGAUGCGGGUUCCUCUUCUGCACGUUCAGCUGUGUGCUGUUUGUGAUCGGUGUCAUCCUGACCUGGCUAGGUAUACGUAGAAUAGGUGUUCACGACGUCUUCGGGGAGACUGUACCCAUCACAGGGCCCAUCUUGCUCUUCGUUGGGGGCCUCAUGCUACUGCUAGCCGCACGCCAGUUCUACUUGGCCCACACCAGGAAAAAACUUAGCUGCAAGUCGCCAG
rnacentral:sRNA from 1 species